rnacentral:misc_RNA from 1 species
CAUGGUAUCAGAGCUGGUAUAAGCUCGAAGGAACCAGACCAACAAAGAUUGGCUGUUUAAGUACACAAAUAAGUGAAAAACCAACCAAUGAUGGAUUUGGUGCAGUCCCAUUAGCACUUAACUCUGCAACAACAGAAUGGUAUUGGCAUGGCUGCUUAUAAUAUAAUUUUUAGUUUUAAUUUCUUUUGGUUGACUUUCUUUUUAGUCUUUAUGCAAUUCUUUAAUUUUAAACUUUUCAUACAUUUUUGAACACAACAUUUCAG